rnacentral:misc_RNA from 1 species
AACGCACAUUGCGCCCCCUGGUAUUCCGGGGGGCAUGCCUGUUCGAGCGUCAUUACAACCAAUCCAGCCCGGCUGGGUGUUGGGCGUCGCGGCCUGCCGCGCGCCUCAAAGUCCUCGGCGGAAGCCGCCCGUUCCUCUGCGUGAUGAUCCAUCGCCGCUUGGGAGUCGGGGGAGAGCGCCUGCACGCGUCGACGGAGACGUCGACUUCAAGGUUGACCUCGGAUCAGGUAGGGAUACCCGCUGAACUUAA